GGAUCCAGGCCCGGUGCGCGCGGCUCCGGCCCCGAGCGCGCUGUCCAGGCUGGAUCCCCACCAGGCGGCGCUGCGCCCCUCCGAGCCCGCCCGGCCGCGCUCUGCAAACCGAUGCUGUUUAAUUAACGUGCAAAUUGAGUAGAUUAAAUGACUCUAAAUAAUUAGCCACAGAUCCUACAAACAGGAUAACAGAUUUAAUUAAGCAGCGAUAUAGAUUUUGGAAACUGUUAAUGUAUUUUUAGAAUGGCAGCUCAGAUCCUUCACUUUUCCCCCCUAACUUCAAACAUGUAACUACGGCCCUCCGAACGUGGAUAAAUAUCUGGAAACAAGAUUACGCCUGUUAACUUCAACUAAUAGAAAUGUGGGUUUAACAGGAACUUGCACGGCUCCGGCGCCGGCGCCGCUGCAGCCCGCGUGGCCCGGGCCGGGCCGGUUCUGUUUGGCUUUGUUGUUCUUGGUGCGCGCGGUCUGGCGCCUGGGCCCUGGGCAGAGAGGGUCAGAACAUACAGGAGGAAGGGGAAGGGAGAAGAUCUGAACAACGUGAGCCGCCGGCCCAUCUGAGGAUUAAAAGGAGCCAUAACAAAGAGUGUUAACCCUUCGCAGUCUUCCAGCUCCCCAGACUCCAAGGGCGGAGCUGCCCCUGGCCUGGGGGCACCAAUAGGGCACCGGUGACCAGGACUGCAGAUCCCCUGGACCUCUGAGGCAGAGGGAGAGGGGCCUGGGGUGUCGGGGAAAGUGUCCACGGGCUGUCCUCCGGCGAAGGGGGAUGUUGGGAGGAGGGACGCUGACUGCUGCCUGGUGGGCUGGCACAAUGAGGUGGCCGCCCCAGACUUCCACAGAUGGGGCUCUCAGUGCCUGGCCACUGCCUGUCCCGCCAGCCCUCUGCUUGUCACAGCCUGAGCGACUUUUCCUGUGCCCUCCGGCCUCCAGCCCUAGCCCUGGUGCUGGGGCCCAGCCUGGGGGCGAAUGGCUGGCCUGGGCCCAACGGACCUUCACACCUUCUCACACUGUGGGCUGGCACCACCAUAUAGCUGCUCCCUGGAUUCUGGUACCCUCCGAGAGGUGUGGGGAGGAGACCCUGCAGCUGUGGGGACCGUCAGUGGGGUCCUCAGCUGUCUGCUGGUCUAGGUUUCUUCCCUAGUGCAAGAGGACUGGAGGCCUAGGGCCUAGGAGCUUUUAGGCCAACCUCCCCAACAAAGUCAGGCAGGGCCUGGGAAGGGCUAGCGGAGGCUCAGAACAUCCCCCUGAACCACCUUCACGGGCUCCCACUGAGACCCAGGCCGGUGUCCAUGGCCACAGACUUCAGAGGAGCUAGCGCGAAGGCCAGCUCCGCUUAAAACAACAGAGGAAGGCCCCCCGCCGGGCAGCCCCUUCUCCUCCUGGCCACAUUCUGCCACUGGACCCCAGCUGAGUAGCUGGGAGGCUCCGGUCCCUCUGAGCUGGCAAGGCCCCACCGCAAACACAAAGCCGGCCACAUCCCUCAGGCCCCUGCCUGCCUCCCCGCCCUGGGAGACCUGUACCCCCACCUCAGCCUGGGUCCGUGGGACCCGCUUUGGCCUGCACCCCACCUGGAGGCCUGGGGCUACCAUCUUGGUGGCGUGGGUGAAAGAAGCCACCUGGAUCCCGGCCGGGGAACUUGGCCCAAGGGGACUUGGGCUCUGGCCGUCUAGUGGGGAGGCGAGGCGGUUACAAAUGGCUCACAGGAGGGUAACGCGGCGCAGAUUGAGUUUAUAAAAUACAAGGCAAACACUGGAGCUAAAAUUUUAUUGUUGAUAAAAUAUUAACCUCCUUAUUACUUUCAUCGCACUUUCAAAUAAAGCACAGCAAAUUAGAAGCAGCCUCUGAAACAAAUCCAUGGGUGAUUAAAUCAGGGGAUGAGUUAGGAGAAGGGGAAAGUUGAGAAAGAGGAAGAUGGAGACUGGGGCGAGGGAGGGGAGGGAAGUGGCAGGCGUGGGGAGGCAGCCUGGGGUGGAAAUGGGAGAGGGGCCCUUCCUGGCCUGCCCCGGGAGAGAAGGCUGCAGCAACUCCCGGAGGAGUGGAAAGGCGAGCGGUGGGAAGUGCAGGAGAGAGAGAACUCUGCAGGAGGGAGCUCUGGGGAGUGCAGGGGCGUGAAACAAGGAAUCAGUCGGGAGCAAGACGUCUUCAGAAACG
rnacentral:lncRNA from 1 species